rnacentral:lncRNA from 1 species
CAGGGAACCAGGAAAUUUUUGAUUUACUUUUGUACCCACAUGCACCUGAGCAGACACACAGUAUUCCUGAAAUAGACACACAGCGGAGCCUAUGAUUCCUGAAAUAACAGUUCUGGUCACUGAGCAUCUAAAUCCUAGAUCAAGAACCUGCCUUGAACAAAUAUAGUUUUGGAUGUGUGUAAAGAACAGUGGGGACAAUAAGGCUUGCCUCUCCUAAAAGACCUCAGACCUGCUCAUGAUCCAGCCACUGUCCAGCUCUGGAGGAGCCAGCCCAGACUAGAGUCAAUGUCAGUUUUGUCCAGUGCUCUUCAGCUUGUUCACAGGUUUAAAUACGCUUCAGCAGCUACCGAGCAGCGUUUUUAAAAAGCAGAAAGGAAACUUGAUAAUUAAAGAUUCAUAAAACAAUCUAGGAAAUCAACAUGGAAAGACCAUCAGUGGUUCUGAAAACUGAACACCAUGUAUAAAUGCUGUAUCUCGGAAGGUCCCAUCAAGUCCAAUAGUAUCAGGAGCUGAGAUCCAAGCCUUCAAUAUGAGUCUUUGGAAGAAAUCCACUAUCAUUAUUGUUACAAACAGCGAUGUUAUAGCGUGGCCCAGGGAAACAAGAAAUGCCUGAGUGACAUGCUAAUCCUAAAGGGCUGUCCAAGGAACUUAUUAAUCAAAUAAAGCUUCUUACUAAAGAGAUGUUAUCUCUUCUCUGUCAAACUAUAGGAAAGUUAUGAACUCUCAGAAAUU